UACGUAGGGCGCAAGCGUUGUCCGGAUUCACUGGGUGUAAAGCGUGCGUAGGCGGUUCGUUAAGUCGGUUGUGAAAUCCCGGGGCUUAACCUGGGAACUGCAGUCGAUACUGAUGAACUGGAGUGCGGUAGAGGGUGGCGGAACUCCGGGUGUAGCGGUGAAAUGCGUAGAUAUCCGGAAGAACACCGAUGGCGAAGGCAACCACCUGGGCCUGCACUGACGCUGAGGUACGAAAGCGUGGGGAGCAAACAGG
rnacentral:rRNA from 1 species